ACCAGCCCGCCAAUGGACGGAUGACAGUCAAUGCAACAACUUACCAAGGAACGACCAUAUUCUCGUGCAAUCUUGGUUAUAGUCUUAUAGGAAGUCAGAUAUUGUUGUGUCAGGCUAAUGGGACAUGGAAUGCUUCAGAACCAGUCUGUCAAAUCAGAGACUGUGGAUCCUUGCUUGCACCAGAAAGAGGAAGUGUUGCGUACACAAGUUCUAUAUACCAGUCCAUAGCAAGGUACGAUUGUAACACAGGAUACGAUAUGGUCGGCAAUGGAACACGUGACUGCUUGGGCGAUGCCACAUGGAGUGGACAACCCCCCGUUUGUCAAAUUAAAGAUUGCCGAAUACCUCCGAUUCUACUAAACGGUACUGCCGCUUUCAGCAACACAACGUUUAGAUCAACUGUCCUGUACACAUGCGAUGCAGGGU